rnacentral:rRNA from 1 species
AGUAGGGAAUAUUGGUCAAUGGAGGCAACUCUGAACCAGCCAUGCCGCGUGAACGAUGAAGGCCUUCGGGUUGUAAAGUUCUUUUGUAUGGGAAGAAACUCAUCCUUGCGAGGAUGCUUGACGGUACCAUAAGAAUAAGCACCGGCUAACUCCGUGCCAGCAGCCGCGGUAAUACGGAGGGUGCAAGCGUUGUCCGGAAUUAUUGGGUUUAAAGGGUGCGCAGGCGGUUUCGUCAGUCAGAGGUUAAAGACCGGAGCUUAACUCCGAGUUUGCCUUUGAUACUGCGAGACUUGAAAUACAUAUGGGUAGGCGGAAUUCCUCAUGUAGCGGUGAAAUGCACAGAUAUGAGGAGGAAGACCGAAGGCGAAGGCAGCUUACUGGGUGUUAUUUGACGCUGAGGCACGAAAGCGUGGGGAGCGAA